ACCGUAGUCCAAGAGCAAUUGCAUCUUCGGUGGCUUGCCGCCUUUUCAAAGCCACCUGAGCUGCCAUCACACGUUGUCGUUCCGCGAUGAGGUUGCAUUUUUCGCAUGCACAUUCCCUGGAA
ensembl:ncRNA C27C12.9 ncRNA